AGUCUUUAGUUUUCUCUCCCAAAGCUCACGAGGUUCCAAGGUUCAACAAUGGCUUUUCCAUGCUUUCUUCUUCCUUUCUUCUUCCUAUUUCCUCAAUUCUAACAAAACCUCCAGCAUAGCCAAAAAGGACCAACCAAAUCGCAAGAAGGAGAUGAAGGGCUGCCGCACCACCACCUCCACCUUGAUCUUUGUUUAUCUCAUUUGGCAUUAUGAAAGUCAACUUAAUGCGGGGAAUCGAAUUUUAGCAGAUUUCACAGAAGAUGAAUGCUGCAGUUUAAGAUCUGUACCUUUGUUUCCAAAACUUAUAACCCAAGGAAACUCUUUUAGUGCGCAUGUUUUCCACUAGCUGCCAGAAGAUGGAAGGGAACAAAAAGAAGGAAAAGACAGGUGUUGGCAGGUUGGUAAUUACCUCGAAA